AGUCGUCCCUGACCCCUGGUCAGGGAACUAAGAUCCGGCAUGCCAGGCAGUGCAACCAAAAACAGGGGAAAAAAAAGAUCAUGAACUUGGCAUGGCCUGAGACCAGACUCAGUGGACUUAAUUGAAGACAUUUUCCAGACCUGUGAACGAUGAAACUUUUUCCUUCAUUUUAUGGAGAUGUAAUUGACCUACAUGGGCUUCCCUGAUAACUCAGUUGGUAAAGACUCCGCCUGCAAUGCAGGAGACCUCGGUUCAAUUCCUGAAUCGGGAAGAUCUGCUGGGGAAGGGAUAGGCUACCCACUCCAGUGUUCUUGGGCUUGCCUUGUGGCUCAGCUGGUAAAGAAUCUGCCUGUAGUGCGGGAGACCUGGGUUCGAUCCCUGGGUUGUGAAGAUCCCCUGGAGAAGGGCUACCCACUCCAGUAUUCUGGCCUGGAGAAUUCCAUGGACUAUAAGCCACAGAGUCGGACGUGACUGAGUGACUUUCACUUCAUUUCCUGAUUGACACACGGCACUGGGUAAGUUUAAGGUGUGCAGUAUCAUGAUUUGACUUGCAUCUGUGGGACUUACUUUAACGAACCAGCUGCAGACCCAGGGCCUCGCUCGGGCCUCUCCAUGGUGGUGCCUUUCCACAGUUCUCCCUCGAAGCACUGCGAACCCCAUUUGUGGCACAGAAAGCCCCUGACUUCACACUCAGAAACCCACAGGCUGUGUCUCUCUGCUGCUCUGCCUCCCCUGCCCAGCCAGCUAGUGACUCAGCCAGGCAAAGAUACCUAACAGCUGGGCCCACCUCUUGGUGGGUGCUGAGCCAAUAGACACAACCAAGCCAAAAAUCGGGAGGAAGAAGGAUUUAUUCCUCAGAGCAAAUAGGAAGAACCCUGGGGAUCUCUCCCAAAGCAGGGUCUCCCCAAACAGCAAAUUUGGGGACGUUUUAAGCUAAGGGUAGAUGCUGAGGUGUGAGAGGGCUUGAGUAGAGAAUUCAGCACAGAACUGGGGCAAAGGUCGACAGAGUCCAGGCUCAGUGGGUUGAACUCGCAUCCUCUACCUGGUGGGGCCACGGCUCCUGCAGAGCUCGGUCGUGUAUCCUUAUGUGAGCUUUCCCCGGUGGUCCGGUGGAGUCCCCUCCUCCGCUGCAGGGGGAUUGCCUCUGAUCCCCGGUUGGGGAAAUAGCAUCUAACAAGCUGCUUGGUGAGGUAAAAAAAAAAAGUCCUGUUCCUGUGUAAAUCCCUGGAGGAACCGACCGCCCCGAGGCUGCCCUAUUGUUUCUGGCCUUCUCCUCCCUCAUUUCUGCAUUUUCUCCCGAAAUGUUGAGUACUUUGCACACAUUAUUUUAUUGGAAUAAGGCGUUGUUCCUUCCAGGAGACGGAAGCUCAGAGAGGUGGAUCGAUUAAGGAGGAGCCAUCUUGUAGGAAGCGUGUCUGUGGUGAUCUUGCAGGAAUAAGCCCCCAGGGGCGGGACCCUGGUGGUCGAUCACGUUUGUAGACUGCAUGAGGCCUGGCCCAGCCCCAGGGACGUGUGAGUGGCCCUGUGAAGAUCUGGAAGGUCCAUCCAUGGUGCUGCAAAUGGCAUUUAUUUCAUCCUUCUUUAUGGCUGAGUCGUAUUCCUCAUCUGGAGAAGGAAAUGGCGACCCACUGCAGUGUUCCUGCCUGGAGAAUCCCGUGGACAGAGGAGCCUGGUGGGCCGCAGUCCAUGGGGUCGCAGAGUGGGACACGACUGAGCAACUAAGGCACACUCUGUGCACGUUAUCCGCGUGUAUUACACCAUGUAUGCUCACCUCUUCUCCAUCUAUCAGUGGCAUUUAGAUCGCUUCCAUGUCUUGGCUUCUACUGCUGUGCACACUGAGGUCAUGUGUCUUUUCGAAUGAGAGCUUUUCCAGAUACAGAGCAUAGGAACUUUUCCCUCUCAUUGUGAAUAAGCCCAGAUAAGCUUCCCCCUCCCAGAGCCAUGCCCUUUGCUAAAGAAUUUUCCUCCCCACUUAGCGCCUGUGAUUUGUCCCCUUCCUCGGGUCUGUGAGGAGCUCUUACAUUCUAGGCCCAAUGCAGGCGUUUUGCAGACACUGCUGGCAUCUGGGCUGGCAGGGUUUGUCGUGGGGGCGGUCCUGUGCAUUGCAAGGCACCGAGCAGCGUCUCUGGGCUCCGCCCGCUGGACGCCAACAGCACCUGCUCUCAGUUACGACGGCCGAACUUGUCUCCAGACUUCGCCAGCUGUUCCCUGAGAGUAAAAUCGCAUCCUCCUCCACUUGAGAACCACCGAGUCACUGGGAAGAAUUGUUUGCAGCUGUGGGAGCAGGAAGGGGGCUGGUGUGGGGCCUCUCCAGGGGGAAGUGACCAGAACCAGAUGCAUCGCUCUGAUCGUCACACUGCAGCUCACUUGCUGGCCAUGUGUUUUGAAUCUAGAGGGGGCCCCAGAGACUGCUUUCCCAUUGUCUUGGAAGUGCUGGCAAAUUCUGAGAAUGACCAGGCUCCUCUGCGCAGUGAAAGUUGUGAAGUCGUGUCCGACUCUUUGCGACCCCAGGAGCUGCAGCACGCCAGGCCUCCCUGUCCUUCACCGUCUCCCCGAGUUUGCUCAAACCCAUGUCCAUCGAGUCGGUGAUGCCAUCCAGCCAUCUCAUCCUCUGUCGUCCCCUUCUCCUCCUGCCCCCAAUCUUUCCCGACAUCAGGGUCUUUUCCAAUGAGUCGGCUCUUCCCAUCAGGUGGACCUUAAAGUAUUGGAGUUUCAGCUUCAUCGUCAGUCCUUCCAAUGACUAUUCCAGAUUAAUUUCCUUUAGGAUGGACUGGUUGGAUCUCCUUGGUGUCCAAGGGACUCUAAAGUCUUCUCUAACACCACAGUUCAAAAGCAUCAGUUCUUCGGCGCUCAGCUUUCUUUAUGGUCCAACUCAUAUGUAUGUAUCGUAUUCUUUUUUUCAGACUGUUUUCCUGUAUAGGUUAUUACAACAUACUGAGUACAUAGCACAUUGAGCAUGCUUCCCUGUGCUGCGUAGGGGCCUCGUUGUUUAUUUCACACGUAGCGGGGUG
ensembl:lncRNA